CACGUAGGGUGCGAGCGUUGUCCGAAAUUAUUGGGCGUAAAGAGCUCGUAGGCGGUGUGUCGCGUCGGCCGUGAAAACCUGCAGCUUAACUGUGGGCGUGCGGUCGAUACGGGCAUCACUGGAGUUCGGCAGGGGAGACUGGAAUUCCUGGUGUAGCGGUAAAAUGCGCAGAUAUCAGGAGGAACACCGGUGGCGAAGGCGGGUCUCUGGGCCGAUACUGACGCUGAGGAGCGAAAGCGUGGGGAGCGAACAGG
rnacentral:rRNA from 1 species